CUUGCGGCCAUAUCACGUUGAAGCAUCGGUUCCCGUACGAUCACCGAAGUUAAGCAACACCGAGCCUGGUCAGUACCUAGAAGGGUGACCUCUUGCGAAUACCAGGUU